rnacentral:rRNA from 1 species
UACAGAGGUCUCAAGCGUUGUUCGGAUUCAUUGGGCGUAAAGGGUGCGUAGGCGGCGGGGCAAGUCUGAUGUGAAAUCCUGGGGCUCAACCCUGGAACUGCAUUGGAUACUGCCUUGCUAGAGUACUGGAGAGGAAACUGGAAUUUACGGUGUAGCAGUGAAAUGCGUAGAUAUCGUAAGGAAGACCAGUGGCGAAGGCGAGUCCCUGGAAAACACCUGACACUGAGGCACGAAAGCUAGGGGAGCAAACGGG